GACGAACGCUGGCGGCGUGCUUAACACAUGCAAGUCGAACGGAAAGGCCUUUUCGGCGGUACUCGAGUGGCGAACGGGUGAGUAACACGUGGGUGAUCUGCCCUGCACUCUGGGAUAAGCCUGGGAAACUGGGUCUAAUACCGGAUAGGACCGCACUUUAGUGUGUGUGGUGGAAAGUUUUUUCGGUGUAGGAUGAGCCCGCGGCCUAUCAGCUUGUUGGUGGGGUAAUGGCCUACCAAGGCGGCGACGGGUAGCCGGACAGAGAGGUUGGUCGGCCACACUGGCACUGAGAUACGGCCCAGACUCCUACGGGAGGCAGCAGGGGGGAAGAUUGCACAAUGGGCGCAAGCCUGAUGCAGCGACGCCGCGGGGGGGAUGACGGCCUUCGGGUUGUAAACUCCUUUCGCCAGGGACGAAGCGUUUUGUGACGGUACCUGGAGAAGAAGCACCGGCUAACUACGUG
rnacentral:rRNA from 1 species